GGCGCACGGUGGAUGCCUUGACACUAGGAGUCGAUGAAGGACGGGACUAACGCCGAUAUGCUUCGGGGAGCUGUAAGUAAGCUUUGAUCCGAAGAUUUCCGAAUGGGGAAACCCACCAUACGUAAUGGUAUGGUAUCCUUAUCUGAAUACAUAGGGUAAGGAAGACAGACCCAGGGAACUGAAACAUCUAAGUACCUGGAGGAAGAGAAAGCAAAUGCGAUUUCCUGAGUAGCGGCGAGCGAAACGGAACAUAGCCCAAACCAAGAGGCUUGCCUCUUGGGGUUGUAGGACAUUCUAUACGGAGUUACAAAGGAACGAGGUAGACGAAGCGACCUGGAAAGGUCCGUCGUAGAGGGUAACAACCCCGUAGUCGAAACUUCGUUCUCUCUUGAAUGUAUCCUGAGUACGGCGGAACACGUGAAAUUCCGUCGGAAUCUGGGAGGACCAUCUCCCAAGGCUAAAUACUCCCUAGUGAUCGAUAGUGAACCAGUACCGUGAGGGAAAGGUGAAAAGCACCCCGGAAGGGGAGUGAAAGAGAUCCUGAAACCGUGUGCCUACAAAUAGUCAGAGCCCGUUAACGGGUGAUGGCGUGCCUUUUGUAGAAUGAACCGGCGAGUUACGAUCCCGUGCGAGGUUAAGCUGAAGAGGCGGAGCCGCAGCGAAAGCGAGUCUGAAUAGGGCGUUUAGUACGUGGUCGUAGACCCGAAACCAGGUGAUCUACCCAUGUCCAGGGUGAAGUUCAGGUAACACUGAAUGGAGGCCCGAACCCACGCACGUUGAAAAGUGCGGGGAUGAGGUGUGGGUAGCGGAGAAAUUCCAAUCGAACCUGGAGAUAGCUGGUUCUCCCCGAAAUAGCUUUAGGGCUAGCCUUAAGUGUAAGAGUCUUGGAGGUAGAGCACUGAUUGGACUAGGGGUCCUCAUCGGAUUACCGAAUUCAGUCAAACUCCGAAUGCCAAUGACUUAUCCUUAGGAGUCAGACUGCGAGUGAUAAGAUCCGUAGUCAAAAGGGAAACAGCCCAGACCGCCAGCUAAGGUCCCAAAGUGUGUAUUAAGUGGAAAAGGAUGUGGAGUUGCUUAGACAACUAGGAUGUUGGCUUAGAAGCAGCCACCAUUUAAAGAGUGCGUAAUAGCUCACUAGUCGAGUGACUCUGCGCCGAAAAUGUACCGGGGCUAAAUACACCACCGAAGCUGCGGAUUGAUACCAAUGGUAUCAGUGGUAGGGGAGCGUUCUAAGGACAGUGAAGUCAGACCGGAAGGACUGGUGGAGUGCUUAGAAGUGAGAAUGCCGGUAUGAGUAGCGAAAGACGGGUGAGAAUCCCGUCCACCGAAUGCCUAAGGUUUCCUGAGGAAGGCUCGUCCGCUCAGGGUUAGUCAGGACCUAAGCCGAGGCCGACAGGCGUAGGCGAUGGACAACAGGUUGAUAUUCCUGUACCACCUCUUUAUCGUUUGAGCAAUGGAGGGACGCAGAAGGAUAGAAGAAGCGUGCGAUUGGUUGUGCACGUCCAAGCAGUUAGGCUGAUAAGUAGGCAAAUCCGCUUAUCGUAAAGGCUGAGCUGUGAUGGGGAAGCUCCUUAUGGAGCGAAGUCUUUGAUUCCCCGCUGCCAAGAAAAGCUUCUAGCGAGAUAAAAGGUGCCUGUACCGCAAACCGACACAGGUAGGCGAGGAGAGAAUCCUAAGGUGUGCGAGAGAACUCUGGUUAAGGAACUCGGCAAAAUGACCCCGUAACUUCGGGAGAAGGGGUGCUUUCUUAACGGAAAGCCGCAGUGAAUAGGCCCAAGCGACUGUUUAGCAAAAACACAGCUCUCUGCGAAGCCGUAAGGCGAAGUAUAGGGGGUGACACCUGCCCGGUGCUGGAAGGUUAAGGAGAGGGGUUAGCGUAAGCGAAGCUCUGAACUGAAGCCCCAGUAAACGGCGGCCGUAACUAUAACGGUCCUAAGGUAGCGAAAUUCCUUGUCGGGUAAGUUCCGACCCGCACGAAAGGUGUAACGAUUUGGGCACUGUCUCAACCAGAGACUCGGUGAAAUUAUAGUACCUGUGAAGAUGCAGGUUACCCGCGACAGGACGGAAAGACCCCGUGGAGCUUUACUGUAGCCUGAUAUUGAAUUUUGGUACAGUUUGUACAGGAUAGGCGGGAGCCUUUGAAACCGGAGCGCUAGCUUCGGUGGAGGCGCUGGUGGGAUACCGCCCUGACUGUAUUGAAAUUCUAACCUACGGGUCUUAUCGACCCGGGAGACAGUGUCAGGUGGGCAGUUUGACUGGGGCGGUCGCCUCCUAAAGUGUAACGGAGGCGCCCAAAGGUUCCCUCAGAAUGGUUGGAAAUCAUUCGUAGAGUGCAAAGGCAUAAGGGAGCUUGACUGCGAGACCUACAAGUCGAGCAGGGACGAAAGUCGGGCUUAGUGAUCCGGUGGUUCCGCAUGGAAGGGCCAUCGCUCAACGGAUAAAAGCUACCCCGGGGAUAACAGGCUUAUCUCCCCCAAGAGUCCACAUCGACGGGGAGGUUUGGCACCUCGAUGUCGGCUCAUCGCAUCCUGGGGCUGUAGUCGGUCCCAAGGGUUGGGCUGUUCGCCCAUUAAAGCGGUACGCGAGCUGGGUUCAGAACGUCGUGAGACAGUUCGGUCCCUAUCCGUCGUGGGCGUAGGAAAUUUGAGAGGAGCUGUCCUUAGUACGAGAGGACCGGGAUGGACGCACCGCUGGUGUACCAGUUGUUCUGCCAAGGGCAUAGCUGGGUAGCUAUGUGCGGAAGGGAUAAGUGCUGAAAGCAUCUAAGCAUGAAGCCCCCCUCAAGAUGAGAUUUCCCAUAGCGUAAGCUAGUAAGAUCCCUGAAAGAUGAUCAGGUUGAUAGGUUCGAGGUGGAAGCAUGGUGACAUGUGGAGCUGACGAAUACUAAUAGAUCGAGGACUUAACCAU
rnacentral:rRNA from 1 species